UGGAUGCAGGUGUUCGCCCAUCUCUCAGGACCAACUGACCCAUGUUCAGCUUCUGUUCACAAGGAACCCUUCUGCACUUCCAAUGAAGCCUUCAAAUUUGUCAUUUGAAG